GAUGAACGCUGGCGGCGUGCCUAAUACAUGCAAGUCGAGCGAACGGACGAGAAGCUUGCUCCCCUGAUGUUAUCGGCGGACGGGUGAGUAACACGUGGUUAACCUACCUAUAAGACUGGGAUAAUUUCGGGAAACCGGAGCUAAUACCGGAUAAUAUUUUGAACCGCAUUGUUCAAACGUGAAAGACGGUCUUGCUUUCACUUAUAGAUGGAUCCGCGCUCCAUUAGCUAGUUGGUAAGGUAACGGCUUACCAAGGCAACGAUGCAUAGACGACCUGAGAGCGAGAUCGCCCACACGGGAACUGAGACACGGUCCAGACUCUUACGGGAGGCAGCAGUAGGGAAUCUUCCGCAAUGGGCGAAAGCCUGACGGAGCAACACCGCGUGAGUGAUGAAGGUCUUCGGAUCGUAAAACUCUGUUAUUAGGGAAGAACAUAUGUGUAAGUAACUGUGCACAUAUUGACGGUACCGAAUCAGAAAGCCACGGCUAACUACGUG
rnacentral:rRNA from 1 species